GAGGGUAUAGCUCAGUGGUGGAGUGUGUGCUUAGCAUGCAUGAAGUCCUGGGUUCAAUCCCCUGGACCUCCU
rnacentral:tRNA from 1 species